rnacentral:lncRNA from 1 species
ACAAACCCAGCUAGUAUCCAGGAGGAUGCGGGUUCAGUCCCUGGCCUCACUCAGUGGGUUAAGGAUCUGGUGUUGCCAUGAGCCAUGGUGUAGGUUGCAGAUGUGGCUCUGAUCCUGCAUUGCUAUGGCUGUGGUAUAGGCCAGCAGCUAUAGUUCUGAUUUGACCCCUAGCCAGGGAAUUUCCAUGUGCUACAAGUGUAGCCCUAAAAAGAAAAAAAAAUUAUAGGAUCAUGUAAUGAAAAAUUCCAGGUAAACAGAUCUACAUUGAUGUCUCAAGCAAGUAUCCAAGAGCCCAUCCAUUUCAUAUUUGUCUGUCACGGACAUAAGAUGGCAAUAGCAACUGAAGAACUUAGACUUAUACAACUCUAAAUCCAUUGAUAACACCAUAACCUCUCUCUUGAAUUAAUAAUUGAUGCCUUGGGGAAUGCAACUAAUAAUUCUUAAACUAAUAAUUGAUGCCUUAGGGGAAUGCAAGACUAAUUGGCUUAGGCCUAGAUCAUGAGCCUACUCUAAGCACAUGGCUGAAAGUGGAAGGGUCAUGUGAUCUACAAAGAGUAAAUAAAGGUAUGGUUUCAAAAAGCAAGGUGAAUGAAUUCUGAGUGGCAAAAUAAUCAAUGCCCAAUUAAUAUACACAAAUAAAAACCAUCUAAGAAUUCAAUCAAGGAAACACAUGGUUGCAGAUGAAAAUAGCUGAAUGUAAAUAUAACAACAUUAUUAUAUGGAUAUGAGAAGGGAGAGGCACACAUACUGUCAUUUUCUUGCUUCCAUAAACUCAAGAUAUCUUCUACUGAUUAAAGACAAGAAAAUUGUACCUCCCGUGGUAUACUGAAGUGUUUUCACAAUGCCUUCAUAAUGGUCAUGUGAAGGGCAGGGAUUGGUUUUAAAAAUUCAGAAGACCACUAUAAAAUAACCUAGUUAUUUACACAAUAACAUAAAUGCAAUUACCUUGGUUUGAAUAUUGAAACAUGCACAAGAUUGCUUAUUGUCUACUGUCCAGAGGGUAUGGACAUUAGAAAAGAAAAUUUAAUAUUUGCAUUGGAUUUUGUAUUUUAUAGAGAAAGCAAGAAUUAUAUUUCUCUGUGCUUUAAGUAUGUGGAAACUGUAGCAAAAAUGGAUCUUAUAAACAUGUCUGCUAAAGCUCAGAUUAUUUUUAAUAAGAUAGUAUUUAUUUUCAGCGAGUAACCAGUUAACUAAAAUAAUUGAUAGCUUUACUUUUUAAUUCUUGAUGAGUCAAUGGUCUUCCAUAUAAUACCUUUAAGUCUUAAAAUAAACUUCAGUUGUUACAUACAACAGUAUCAAUGAGCAUCUCUAAGUGGUUUAACAAAGAACAGAGGAAAGAGACUCAAUGGAAAUAAAAACACCACAUGGGGCAAAUCAUGAUACUUACCUUAGUAAAUAAUAUUUUGGCCAUAUUAAAAUAGUUAGGCAUAUAAUACGAAGGGGAAAAUGUCAUUGAAAGACUUCUAAUUGGAACAAUAGUGUCCUCAUUCUUCAGUAAUAAUCUGGCUUAAACUGCAACUAAAAAAGCAGCUUAAAUUAUCCUGAAAAAAAAUGAUUAAAGUCCAGGGAACACUCUAGGAAAACAAGUUCAUAUAAUAAGCAUAAAAUGAAACUAAAAAUUGCAUUUUAAUUUGUCUAUCCCUUUCAUUUGAAAAAGUGAGGUCCAGAUCAGCUAAGAGACUUGCCUAGGGUCACACAAAGUAUAACUCCUAAAUCACUGGUUUUCAAAGUAGAGCGCAGUUACUUUGUGUUUAUAAAAGAGAUCCACAGGGUAAAGGAAAAAAAAAACACAUUAAAUGUCCUUAAUUUUUUGUGUGUUUUAUUAUUUACACAAUAUGUUUGCAGAGGCAUGUGCAUACAGAAAUUUUUUUUUCUGAUCUUUAUGCCCAGUCAAAAUCAUUUGUAGACCACUGUCUUAAAAUUAUAACCCAAACCUGGACCAAACUUCCCCUCAUGACUCCUUUGACCCCUCCCUCAAUCGGGUCACUAUCUGCUACUGAGCAUGUGCAACUCUGUCACCAUCAACUGAACACACACUCUCUCUCAGCUGGGGAAUGGGAAUCAAAGUUAUUUCAGCUAUGAGCUUUAGAUUUUUAUUUCUUUAUCUGUCUACUUCAAAAAUAUUGCCAUGCUUUUUUAAAACACAUAAAUUACAAAGAAGAAAGAAACCCAACUAUUAAGGUAACACUACUACUUCUGCAGCGAAGAGUCAAAGGAAAUAAGAACUUUUCAUAAAAUACAACAACCAGAAACACCUCUCACACCUCCUCUAGUACAAAAUACAAAAUCACCUUUGACGACUUUUUGAAAGAGAUAUGGUCUGUAUCCGACAUGCUAAUUGAGUUAUCAGUCCUCAAACACUGAUGAAGAGUGAAUCAAUUAUCACAUACACUUUAUUCUGUAGCCUGUACACUGAUAAAUAACACUGGGGCCACCUUCCACUGGGCUUCUGCUCAACAGCCCUGAGACUGACACUCUCCUGGAGGGGAGAUCUAGUUGGUAAAAUAAAAAGUGUGUGGGAGUAAGUCUACACUGAUUACAGCCUGAGUUUAAAAGUUAAAUUUAGGAGAUCAUAUAGCUCAGAAUUUCUUCAGAAUGUAGCAUUUUCAACAAGUAAAAACUUCAAGACACUGUAGAAAGAAGCCAUGACCAUGAGGAUAUUUUUCUUUCUCCCUGGAUUAUAAAAAGACACUCAAAAUAUACAUGACCCUCUGUAGAACAGUUUCCUUAAACAUACAGAGAAGGGCAAUAUUCAAAUGACUUAUUUGGGCAUUUCAGAAGUCUACAUUUCCUUGGAUGGUGAUCAAAAUAGGUGGGCCUCCUCAAUGCAUUCCUGCUUAUAACAGAAUGCAGCACAGGACAAUAGCUAAGGCAUAGGUUCUUGAAUCAGAUUCUCUGGCUUUGAACCAUGGCUCUGACACUUACUAGUUGUUUGACCAUAGGCAGGUUAGUUAAUUACUCUAAACUUCAGUUUCCUUAUCAACAAAGUAGAGAUCAAAAUAGAGUCUAAUAGGGUGGCUGUGAUAAUUAAAUGGUUUUAUAAAUGGUACCUAACAGAGUACCUGAUAAAUUGUAGUUGCUAUGGUGAUGGUGGUUGGAGAUGAUAAGUGUUACAUCAAACUUCCUGGGGAUUUAAGUUGCUCUCUAAAAUAUGAGAUGGUUAAUGUCAUUUGUCCUUUUGAGUUAUUCUUAUUUGGCAUUUCCUUAUCACUCACUGAGUAUAACAUGUAGGGACCUGUACAGAGAAUUAUAUCAAACCAAACUCCUGCCUUGAAGGAAGUGACUCUUAUUUGGCUUCUUUAUUGCACACCUACGACUGUGAAAGGCAGCACUCUCACUCCAUAUUCCCUACAAUAGUGGCUAAACUUCAGCAUACUAUUUUAAAAAAAAUUACAAUAAUCUUUUCCAACUCCUUAUUUACCAUUAACAUGUAUAGAACUGGUAAGGAGGGCUGUGUCCUAUGGGAUAAAAUAUGGUAAUUCUGGUGAGCCCAAGGACCAGAAUUCCAUGAUAGCUCCUCUGGUUAGAAUAGAGUUCCAGAUGCAAUGGGACCUCCAAUGGGGCUUUACCAAAAGCCUUCUUUGUUUCUUGGCCUUGACACUGGAGUCAACAUUUUGACUAGCAAAUACCUUCUCAUCAUAUAGCUUCUUAACUUGUACACCUCUUAUCUUGAAACGGGACGGUAACAGGGUUAACAGAAAGAUACUCAACACAAAUAGGGAAAGGAUAUUAGUUCCAACGGUGUGGAUAACAAACAAAACUUACUACACACAGAUGGCAGGUAUACAGAGCAAGAGACUCAGCCCUACUCCCAGUUAGAGGGGUAAGCUUCCUUUAUCUUCCAGUCCCCUGAAAGUACCUUACUAUCAAUGAUACCAGUUACUUAUUGGAAUGAGAAACCCAUUUAGUAUUUUAUGCAAGGUAUUUUUGCCAUUUUCAGUAGGAUCUUGGUCCUUCUUAAUUAUUCUAGGGACUUUGGCCACUUAUCUACCUGCCCACCCAUAAGGUUGCAAAAAAAAAAAAAAUGAAAACAACGCAGUACAUACCUGUAUGCUUCCUGCAAGGAUAAGUAAACAAGAGCUCUAUUUCCAACAUUCAGUUUUCCACAAACACUCUCCGCACAGUAGGCCUAGGUCUACAACCUAUUAAUAGUUUUCUACAUUUUUAGCAGAGGACUUCUUUUUUCAACUAAUUAUUCAUGCUAAAAUCUAAUAUAUAAAGGAGAUUAAAGUGAAGAUUCAGUGGUUGAAACAGAUUGAGAGGCCAAGAGUCUUUCCCAUUUGGCCAUCAGUUUUGUAUCCCAAACCCCCAAUCUCAGUCAUUCCAGUGGAGGCUAAUGAUCAAAAUCAUAUACUCCAGAGGCAGAAUAGCUAGAAUGAAUCCUGACUCUAGCAUUUCCUCUCUAAACCAUGUGUUACAAUGUGGAGAAAGGGCUAAGAUUAUUCUGUGAACAGGUAGAAAUGAAGAAAACAGAAACCCCAUGAAUUAAAAAGGUUAUUCAUUAAACCUGGAAUAGGAAGAAGAGGUGCUAAAAGCCUACCUAACUCGCCUUUUUGCCUCAAGUUAACAGCUGAGGCAGUUCUGAGAUUAAAACAGAAACUAAGUCAUGAUGACAACCCUUUAGAAAGGCUUAAGAAAAACCCUGCAUCUGGGAUAGCUUAGGCUAACUAGGUCCUUUGCAUUAUGCUCAUACAUCAUAAUGCAGAUUCACAGCUGUGAAAGCACAUCUGGAUAGCAUGAUUGUGAUUCCAGCCAAUCUCUAAGGGAACUUUUAUAUCAAGGCAAGUGCCAGUUGAACACGUUUGAAGCCUAUAAACUUCUAAUUUUAAGAACAAACAGCCUGUUUCAGACAAUAGGAUUAUAAACCUACAUGAUAUAUCUUUUAUAAUUAUUGCUACUUCGUCAAAGAAGACUUGUCUAUGUAUUAUUCCCCAAAAAGAGAAAUCCACCACAUUUUUUAGCAUUCAUUAAAUGCAUGUCAUCUUUUCAUAUAGGUUUAGGAAUAGUAAUAAUUACCCAAGCAAAUAAUUACCCAAUACAGCUCUUCCCUGCCUUUUUAAGUGACCUCAGAAAACUGACUCUUGCCCUUUUCUUAACCAACACAUGCACAUUUCCUGGAUUAAAUACCACAGCAUUACACAGUCAAUGGCCAGUGCCUUCUUCAACAAAAAUGCAAGCAGUAUAUAAAGUCCUCUGGAUUAGUGAGGUCAACAACUGUUUGAGGCACAUGAUACACAAAGUACUAUGUUGAGGAAUCUAAAGAUGUCCUCGUCUAUAAUUAAAAUAAAGUGAGAUAUAUAAUAAAAGGCCCAUAGAAAGUUAGCAGAAAAAGGAACCUUAAGGAAUGUCUAGUUCAAUUCCCUCCUUUUUUUUAACAUCCUCAUCUUACAGACGAAUAAACUAAAGCUCCUUGUUGUAUACUCAGUUAUGGCACUACUAGGGCAAAAUCUGGGGUCUCCUGAUUCUCAUAUUGGUACUUUGCUACAUCACAGUAUGUUCAACAACUCGAGGAAAGAGGAGGUAGAAGUUACUUCUCAGUGGAGAUCUGGAAAAGCUGCAAUGGAAAUGCUACGCUCUGAAGAUUGUUCAGAAUACAACAGGUAAAGAUGAACAAAGGGGCAAAUGAGGCAAGGAAAAGGAAGAGAAGAAGCAUGUAUGUACAACUGGAAAAGCAUGAGUCAUUUUGGACCUGAAAACAGUCCAGUUUAGCUAGAAGCUUGCAGUUUCUGAACAAGGGUGCUCCUGGCAUUUCUGGUGCGACACUGUUGAAAUGGUGAGGAUAUAUUUCACUUGCUAGACAUCUCUGGUUCCAAACCACUAGACACCCUUAUCAUUCACACUCAGUGUGACAACCCAAAAUACCCCAAGAGAUCUCCAAACCUCACCACUCCCAGUUUAGAACCGCUGAACAUAAAUAUGGGGUGUCUAGGGAUAGGAAUAGUAUUUGAAAAGGCUGAAAGUUGGUUGGGUUCAGAUAAUGAAAACCUUAAAGAAGCUAAAAAUACAAAAGGAAAUUCCCAUUGUGGCUCAGGGGAUUAAGAACCUGACAUAGUUGUCUGUGAGGAUGCAGGUUUGAUUCCUGGUCUCGCUCUGUGGGUUAAGGAUCCAGCAUUGCCGCAAGCUGCAACAUAGGUCACAGAUGUGGCUUGGGUCCAGUGUUGCUGUGGCUGUGGUUUAGGCCAGCAGCCCAGGAACUUCCAUAUGUCACAGAUGUGGCUGUCAAAAAAUAAAAAAUAAAAAUAAGCAGUAGCUGCUCAUACCUUUCUCAGCAGGCUACAAGGAAACACUGGAUGUAAUAGGGAAAAGUCUUUGUUUGCUAUGUUCUUCAGGAAGGAUUCUGGUAGCAUCAUUGUAGCAAAUAAUUAAGGUGGGUUAAGAGAUGAAAGCAGGGAGACAAGUUACUCGGUUCCAGUAAUAACACAUACGUGUGUGUUCCAGUAAUAACACAUACGUGUCUUUCUUUCCUUUUAUCACUCCUACUACUGUGUCUACAUGGGCUUUGACGUCUACUCUGGAUUCUGACUCCUGGCCUCUAUUGUGAAACUUGGAAUAAAGUUUUCCUCUUAGAUUUAAUCAUAGAGUAUUUCUUUGUCACUUA